rnacentral:rRNA from 1 species
CCUACGGGAGGCAGCAGUGGGGAAUUUUGGACAAUGGACGCAAGUCUGAUCCAGCCAUUCCGCGUGCAGGACGAAGGCCUUCGGGUUGUAAACUGCUUUUGUACGGAACGAAAAAGCUCUUAUUAAUACUAGGAGUCCAUGACGGUACCGUAAGAAUAAGCACCGGCUAACUACGUGCCAGCAGCCGCGGUAAUACGUAGGGUGCAAGCGUUAAUCGGAAUUACUGGGCGUAAAGCGUGCGCAGGCGGUUAUAUAAGACAGAUGUGAAAUCCCCGAGCUUAACUUGGGAACUGCAUUUGUGACUGUAUAGCUAGAGUACGGCAGAGGGGGAUGGAAUUCCGCGUGUAGCAGUGAAAUGCGUAGAUAUGCGGAGGAACACCGGAUGGCGAAGGCAAUCCCCUGGGCCUGUACUGACGCUCAUGCACGAAAGCGUGGGGAGCAAACAGGAUUAGAUACCCUGGUAGUCCACGCCCUAAACGAUAGUCAACUGGUUGUUGGGUCUUCACUGACUCAGUAACGAAGCUAACGCGUGAAGUUGACCGCCUGGGGAUACGGCGCAAGGUUGAAACUCGAAAGGAUUGACGG